rnacentral:snRNA from 1 species
ACCUGGUGAGAGUCAGCCAAC